CCCCUAGACGUUCUGGGCUGCACGCGCGCUACAAUAAUACGCACAGCGAGUAUCACCGAGCUCGAAAGGGCAAGGUAAACAAUAGAAAAGGUACUGUAAUGGUUAUAGAUCCUUGUAAUUAUUGAUCUUCAACGAGGAAUUCCUAGUAAGUAUGUGUCAUCAUCACGCACUGAUUACGUCCCUGCCCUUUGUACACACCGCCCGUCGCUCCUACCGAUUGGGUGAGCCAAUGAAACUCUCGGAUGUAGGCUAUUCAUAGCCCGCAGAAGAGAUUUGAAUCGUAGCGCUUAGAGGAAGGAGAAGUCGUAACA
rnacentral:rRNA from 1 species